CGAACGCUGGCGGCGUGCUUAACACAUGCAAGUCGAACGCGAAAGGGACUUCGGUCCUGAGUAAAGUGGCGCAUGGGUGAGUAACGCGUAGAUAACCUGUCUUCAUGUCUGGAAUAAUACGCCGAAAGGGGUACUAAUACCGGAUAUUCUUGCUUUUCAUAAGUUAUGCAAGCAAAGGUGGCCUCUGCAUAUGCUACUGCAUGAAGAGGGGUCUGCGUACCAUUAGCUAGUAGGUGGGGUAAUGGCCUACCUAGGCGACGAUGGUUAGCGGGUCUGAGAGGAUGAUCCGCCACACUGGCACUGGAACACGGGCCAGACUCCUACGGGAGGCAGCAGUGAGGAAUAUUGCGCAAUGGGGGAAACCCUGACGCAGCGACGCCGCGUGAGUGAGGAAAGGCCUUCGGGUCGUAAAGCUCUGUCAAGAGGAGAGAAGUGUACAAUGGCUAAUACCUGUUGUAUUUGACGGUACCUCUAAAGGAAGCACCGGCUAACUCCGUGCCAGCCGCAGC
rnacentral:rRNA from 1 species